rnacentral:rRNA from 1 species
GGACACGUGGUAUCCUGUCUGAAUAUGGGGGGACCAUCCUCCAAGGCUAAAUACUCCUGACUGACCGAUAGUGAACCAGUACCGUGAGGGAAAGGCGAAAAGAACCCCGGCGAGGGGAGUGAAAAAGAACCUGAAACCGUGUACGUACAAGCAGUGGGAGCACAGAGCAAUCUGUGUGACUGCGUACCUUUUGUAUAAUGGGUCAGCGACUUAUAUUCUGUAGCAAGGUUAACCGAAUAGGGGAGCCGAAGGGAAACCGAGUCUUAACUGGGCGUUAAGUUGCAGGGUAUAGACCCGAAACCCGGUGAUCUAGCCAUGGGCAGGUUGAAGGUUGGGUAACACUAACUGGAGGACCGAACCGACUAAUGUUGAAAAAUUAGCGGAUGACUUGUGGCUGGGGGUGAAAGGCCAAUCAAACCGGGAGAUAGCUGGUUCUCCCCGAAAGCUAUUUAGGUAGCGCCUCGUGAAUUCAUCUCCGGGGGUAGAGCACUGUUUCGGCAAGGGGGUCAUCCCGACUUACCAACCCGAUGCAAACUGCGAAUACCGGAGAAUGUUAUCACGGGAGACACACGGCGGGUGCUAACGUCCGUCGUGAAGAGGGAAACAACCCAGACCGCCAGCUAAGGUCCCAAAGUCAUGGUUAAGUGGGAAACGAUGUGGGAAGGCCCAGACAGCCAGGAUGUUGGCUUAGAAGCAGCCAUCAUUUAAAGAAAGCGUAAUAGCUCACUGGUCGAGUCGGCCUGCGCGGAAGAUGUAACGGGGCUAAACCAUGCACCGAAGCUGCGGCAGCGACACUGUGUGUUGUUGGGUAGGGGAGCGUUCUGUAAGCCUGUGAAGGUGUGCUGUGAGGCAUGCUGGAGGUAUCAGAAGUGCGAAUGCUGACAUAAGUAACGAUAAAGCGGGUGAAAAGCCCGCUCGCCGGAAGACCAAGGGUUCCUGUCCAACGUUAAUCGGGGCAGGGUGAGUCGACCCCUAAGGCGAGGCCGAAAGGCGUAGUCGAUGGGAAACAGGUUAAUAUUCCUGUACUUGGUGUUACUGCGAAGGGGGGACGGAGAAGGCUAUGUUGGCCGGGCGACGGUUGUCCCGGUUUAAGCGUGUAGGCUGGUUUUCCAGGCAAAUCCGGAAAAUCAAGGCUGAGGCGUGAUGACGAGGCACUACGGUGCUGAAGCAACAAAUGCCCUGCUUCCAGGAAAAGCCUCUAAGCAUCAGGUAACAUCAAAUCGUACCCCAAACCGACACAGGUGGUCAGGUAGAGAAUACCAAGGCGCUUGAGAGAACUCGGGUGAAGGAACUAGGCAAAAUGGUGCCGUAACUUCGGGAGAAGGCACGCUGAUAUGUAGGUGAAGUCCCUCGCGGAUGGAGCUGAAAUCAGUCGAAGAUACCAGCUGGCUGCAACUGUUUAUUAAAAACACAGCACUGUGCAAACACGAAAGUGGACGUAUACGGUGUGACGCCUGCCCGGUGCCGGAAGGUUAAUUGAUGGGGUCAGCGCAAGCGAAGCUCUUGAUCGAAGCCCCGGUAAACGGCGGCCGUAACUAUAACGGUCCUAAGGUAGCGAAAUUCCUUGUCGGGUAAGUUCCGACCUGCACGAAUGGCGUAAUGAUGGCCAGGCUGUCUCCACCCGAGACUCAGUGAAAUUGAACUCGCUGUGAAGAUGCAGUGUACCCGCGGCAAGACGGAAAGACCCCGUGAACCUUUACUAUAGCUUGACACUGAACAUUGAGCCUUGAUGUGUAGGAUAGGUGGGAGGCUUUGAAGUGUGGACGCCAGUCUGCAUGGAGCCGACCUUGAAAUACCACCCUUUAAUGUUUGAUGUUCUAACGUGGACCCGUGAUCCGGGUUGCGGACAGUGUCUGGUGGGUAGUUUGACUGGGGCGGUCUCCUCCUAAAGAGUAACGGAGGAGCACGAAGGUUGGCUAAUCCUGGUCGGACAUCAGGAGGUUAGUGCAAUGGCAUAAGCCAGCUUGACUGCGAGCGUGACGGCGCGAGCAGGUGCGAAAGCAGGUCAUAGUGAUCCGGUGGUUCUGAAUGGAAGGGCCAUCGCUCAACGGAUAAAAGGUACUCCGGGGAUAACAGGCUGAUACCGCCCAAGAGUUCAUAUCGACGGCGGUGUUUGGCACCUCGAUGUCGGCUCAUCACAUCCUGGGGCUGAAGUAGGUCCCAAGGGUAUGGCUGUUCGCCAUUUAAAGUGGUACGCGAGCUGGGUUUAGAACGUCGUGAGACAGUUCGGUCCCUAUCUGCCGUGGGCGCUGGAGAACUGAGGGGGGCUGCUCCUAGUACGAGAGGACCGGAGUGGACGCAUCACUGGUGUUCGGGUUGUCAUGCCAAUGGCACUGCCCGGUAGCUAAAUGCGGAAGAGAUAAGUGCUGAAAGCAUCUAAGCACGAAACUUGCCCCGAGAUGAGUUCUCCCUGACCCUUUAAGGGUCCUGAAGGAACGUUGAAGACGACGACGUUGAUAGGCCGGGUGUGUAAGCGCAGCGAUGCGUUGAGCUAACCGGUACUAAUGAACCGUGAGGCUUAACCUUACAACGCCGAAGGUGUUU